rnacentral:rRNA from 1 species
AAAGAUUAAGCCAUGCAUGUCUCAGUACUUGCUUUUACAAGGCGAAACCGCGAAUGGCUCAUUAAAUCAGUUAUGGUUCAAUUGAUCGUAAAUUAUACACGGAUAACUGUGGUAAUUCUAGAGCUAAUACGUGCAAAUAGCUCGGUCCCUUGUGGAACGGGCGCAGUUAUUAGAUCAAAACUAAUCCGGCCUUCGGGUCGGUAAAAUUGGUGACUCUGAAUAACCGAAGCGGAGCGCGUGGUCUCGUACCGGCGCCAGAUCUUUCAAGUGUCUGACUUAUCAGCUUGUUGUUAGGUUACGUUCCUAACAAGGCUUCAACGGGUAACGGGGUAUCAGGGUCCGAUACCGGAGAGGGAGCCUGA